UUUACCGAAAGAAUGAAUUGUGCCUUUACGACCGUUUACUUUUCCUAAAUACGGUGCCAGAAAGAUAGUCGUAAUUAAAAGUUCUACACGUGUAUCAGACAAUUGUCUUAUUUGUUGUUCCCAUGAAAUAGCCGGUAGUCCUUAUUUUGCAAGAAGUUUUAUGUUGCAUCUGUUUUAUAAAUUGUGCAAGAUUCGAUACGAGGCAAGUAAACAGUACCAUGCACAAUGGUUCGUCGCUAUGAAUUUUCAAUUGUUCUAUUCGCCAAACGAAGAGAACGUUCAACGAAUUUCAUAAGUGCUCAGCGUGUUCGUCUAUAUAAUCGUCGUAAAUCUACAAUUAAUCGAUACUAUUUCCUAAUCAAAUCUAAUUGGCAAAGAUCAUCUAUGACCCACCUAUGAAUCGAAGUAAAAACAAUUUAAUCACAUUUCGAUACUUUUUCGAGGAGUAGUUUGCAAACUUACGAAACAUUAGGGAAAUAUAAUUACCCUUAUUCGUUAGAUUUGAAGUUUUUAUUUUAUUAGAAAUUUUGGUGUUCGAUUACAUCGUUGGCUUACAAGACCCAAUUAGCGCAAUAGAAGGAAAAGACGAGAUCAGAACGUUUUGCUCGUUUAGUGACAAGAUGAUAUUGUGUGUUAAUUUAUUGCCGCCUUAUCGCAGAUGUAAAUUUUUGCCAACAAACAAAAUGUCUGACAUAUGUUUGCAAACAAGAAUACGAACGUCAGAAGAGGGAUAUUUCCUACAAGUCAUGUCAAAAUUGGUUAAUAACUCUUUCGUGACUUGUACGUUUCUUUGUGUUUGAAUGACAUUGGCGUGAUACCGUUAUUCCUAACAUUAGCAAGUAGUUAAAUUUCCUUGUUUCUAUUAGUGCGCAAAGGUAACCACAAAUCUGGAAUAUACGCUACAUACAUACGUUACUCGGUUACCGCAAGUAGAGACACGUGCAUUCAGAAUUCAUACCCGUGGUAUACGGCCACUAAUUAACGUGAAUCGUACAGGUUAACGUGGAAAAUCUCAAAGUAUCUCGAGGUCGAAGCAACUACGACAACACGGCCGCAGGCCGAUCCAUUCUUCGAUGGAAAAUUAAAUUUCAGCAAUUAACCGCCAGCUAUUAGCGGUAUAGCUGUUUGGUGUGUGCCAUUAGCAAUGCGCGGGAAUAGACGGAAGAGUUUACCAGCCGCGUAGUGUGCGCGUGUGUGUACAUCACGUCGGCUCUAUUAAAUCAUAAUGGGUUCACAAUGUGAGACUCUGCUCCCGGAGGUUGACUAGAAACGAGCAUAGACACCAUACCCAAAGCCGAGGCUUCGUCUAUCUCGCUGAGAUCUGCAUCUUUCGACCAAGUCCUAGUUGGGAAUACCCUUUUUAGGAAUGAGACAUUGGAGGCAGCAGACGAUGAGAUAAUUGGAGCGAAUUUCACUUAAUGUAUCUUUAUAUUAUCAUAAUUGCCAAUAGACAUACAAGAACCGACGUUGAUACUUUUCUUUACCGGCCUAUUUGUUUACCAUAAAUUUUCAAUAAUUUGUUGGAAUUAAGCUCGAAUAUUUUUUUCUUAUCGGUGUUCUCUAGCACAUUAUAGUACGUAUUACAUUUCGUAUUAUCAAAUAUUGUCCUCUUGUUACUUAUUAUUAUCUUAUUAUUAUCACGAAUCGUA
rnacentral:lncRNA from 1 species